rnacentral:lncRNA from 1 species
UGCGUUAAGUGUCGCGCUGUGCCGGAAAAUAUUAGCUUCGACGGACCUGUUUCCAUUGAGUGCGAUUCAGUGCUUGAGACCGGUUCAAAUCGAUUGAAGUAAACUUGCAGCGCUGCGUUUGGCGUGCGGAAGCGAAAAUAUACACGGAUUCGUCAGCUAAACGAACGAACGAACGGUGUGUCGGAGGAAGAGCGAAGAAAAAAAAAACAAGAAAAAAUUUUAAAUUGAAACAAAAAAAUUUAAAUCGAGAUAAACAAAAAUUUGAAAUUUUUAAACAAAUUACAAUACAAAAAAAAAAAUAAAUAAAAAAAACGAACAAAGUGAAAUGUAGUGUAAAACGCUGCAGCAUGUGCCAAAGUGAAAAAAUAUAUGAAAAAAAUUUCGUAAAAAUGCAAAAGUAGCAUUGUAAAUAUGUACUUAUGUAUAAGUAUUUAUGUAUAUUUAUAAAUGGAAAAAGUACAAAAAUAUAACUAAAUUAUUAAAUAAAAAAUUUAAACAAAAUCGCAAAUCUCAUUGUUGAAAAAAUAAAAUUCACAAGUCAAAAAGUGAAUUUUCAGACAAAUUUUGUAUGAAAUCAACAGCAAAAUCCAGCCUUUGAAUUCAAACAGCAAUGCAAAGGCAAAAAUAAAAAACGUAAAAAUAUUAAUUACGGUACAAAAACCCGCGCGUCAUUAAGCAAAUGUCCCCAACACCAUCACCAUCACCACUAACAACAACAACCACACUCAAUCCAACAACGUGCAACAUUUACUCGUAACAUACAACAAGUAACAAUCACGUAUUUAGUAGAAAUUUGCAUAGUAAAUAAAAUUAUUUUGUCGCUUGCAACAUUUUACUCGUGCGUGCAUACCUGUAUGUACGUGUGCAUGUGUGUGUGACCCACAGUAAACAUUACACUGUAAAUACGUGUUUUGUCGGUGUAAACAUUAGUGCGUCGUCGUUGAUUCGUUUGUGAUUUGUUAUUUGCAACAUAUGUACAUACGCAUACGAGAGUAACUGAAAGUGUCAUCUUUAACAUUUUUUCGCGACUGUGUUUGAGUGUCUCUGUGUGUGUAAAUAAAUAUGUGUGCACACAUGUCUGUUUAGGCACAAGAAUUUGCGCGGAGAAUAGAAAUUUAUUUGCUUUUACCUGUGCGUGCGUUUUCUUCUUUUUUUUUUAUUAUUCAAACUCUCCUACGUACUUGCAACAUUCCUCGUAUUUGCUUAACAAAUCACAAUUGAAUUGGAUUAUUUACGUGCCACCUAUUACUAAUUGGAUCUGAAGCAUUUUAAAUGCUUGUGCAGCUUAAAGUGAAGUGAUUGCUGGUGCUAUUGGCAUUUAUUGGCGUUGUCAAUUGUGUUGCAGUAACCAAUAACGAGUACGAGUGUUUGGAAAAUUGGAUUCAUUUGCUGGCGCACAGUGUGUGGCUAAGCUGCCAUACAGUCACUGCAAUUGACUUCAAUCACAUGUGACAACAGCAGAGCGGAGCUAGCGGCAGAGUGAUAAGUGCAGAAAAAAGGAUUAUAAUCACAGUAGAAAGGAAACAGAAUUGUGAAGGAUAUUUUAAGUGAAAGAGAAGAGUUGAAUUAACAAAAAAAAAAAAAAAAAUUAAAUAAAAUUUUUUUCGGCGUCUGAAUUUGUACUGAAAAUUCCUGCACACAAAGUGAUAAUCGUAUAAAAUAUUGCAGAGAGAAAGCAAGCAAAUAAAAAGGAUAAAAACUUAAAACAGGCAGCGAGAGAAGGCGUCGCACUGUGGCUGGCGGUGUCUGGUGUGUCGAAUCGGAGGAAACGGUUUCAAACUCACUUAAGUACACACAUUUGAAGUUGACACAUAAGCACAGAGCAGAUGUAUGUAUAUACAAACGAGUGCAUAUAUGUAUAAGUGUAUAUGUAUGUGCAUACUGUGAAUUGAAUGCUAACUAAUCCGCUGCCAAGCAAUGAGAAGAACUAAAAGAAACUAAAAACUAAAAAGCAAAACAAAAGUUACUCCUUC